GCUGAACGCUUUCUUCUUUCCUAAUACAUGCAAGUCGAGCGAACAGACGAGGAGCUUGCUCCUCUGACGUUAGCGGCGGACGGGUGAGUAACACGUGGAUAACCUACCUAUAAGACUGGGAUAACUUCGGGAAACCGGAGCUAAUACCGGAUAAUAUAUUGAACCGCAUGGUUCAAUAGUGAAAGACGGUUUUGCUGUCACUUAUAGAUGGAUCCGCGCCGCAUUAGCUAGUUGGUAAGGUAACGGCUUACCAAGGCAACGAUGCGUAGCCGACCUGAGAGGGUGAUCGGCCACACUGGAACUGAGACACGGUCCAGACUCCUACGGGAGGCAGCAGUAGGGAAUCUUCCGCAAAGGGCGAAAGCCUGACGGAGCAACGCCGCGUGAGUGAUGAAGGUCUUCGGAUCGUAAAACUCUGUUAUUAGGGAAGAACAAAUGUGUAAGUAACUAUGCACGUCUUGACGGUACCUAAUCAGAAAGCCACGGCUAACUACGUG
rnacentral:rRNA from 1 species